rnacentral:sRNA from 12 species
CGCCAAUGCGAUGGGCUAUUAAACUUUGCGGAACCUUAAACCGCCAAAGUGAGGCUCCUUAUCCACAGAAACACGAGUUCGUAAUCAUGUUAUUACAUAACCCAACGUGCAUACUCAAACUGCGAGCGAUAACGACGUUGUAAUCGAAGUAUGCAAACUUUCAAAAUGAAAGUCAUAUGUAAUAUGCAAUAAGGUGUGAGAAAACAAAUUUAGGAUAAAAAGCAGUCGUGAUACGAAGCAUGGCUGUUUUUUA